GAUGAACGCUGGCGGCGUGCCUAAUACAUGCAAGUCGAGCGAACGGACGAGAAGCUUGCUUUUCUGAUGUUAGCGGCGGACGGGUGAGUAACACGUGGAUAACCUACCUAUAAGACUGGGAUAACUUCGGGAAACCGGAGCUAAUACCGGAUAAUAUUUUGAACCGCAUGGUUCAAAAGUGAAAGACGGUCUUGCUGUCACUUAUAGAUGGAUCCGCGCUGCAUUAGCUAGUUGGUAAGGUAACGGCUUACCAAGGCAACGAUGCAUAGCCGACCUGAGAGGGGGAGUGGGCCCCCUGGAACUGGGAACACGGCCCGAACCCCACGGGGGGGCAGCGGGGGGAAUUUUUCGGCAAGGGCGGAAGCCCUGAGGGGCCAACGCCGGGGGGGUAUGAAGGUUUUGGGGUUGGUAAACCCUUUUUUUUGGGAAAAAAAAAUGUUGAAGGUAAUUUGGCCCUUUUGACGGGACCUAAUUAAAAAGCCCACGGCAACCUCCGG
rnacentral:rRNA from 1 species